UCCCUCGUGGCGCAAUUGGCUAGCGCGUCACACUGUUACUUUCUCCCCAAGUAAAUCAUUACUCAAGGAGAAAAAGCGGAAUCUGGAGGCUGUAAGUUCGACCCUCACCGAGGGAG